AAUUCAGUACACUGUAGGCAACUG
rnacentral:piRNA from 1 species